AACGAACGCUGGCGGCAUGCCUAACACAUGCAAGUCGAACGAGACCUUCGGGUCUAGUGGCGCACGGGUGCGUAACGCGUGGGAACCUGCCCUUAGGUUCGGAAUACCUCCCCGAAAGGGGUGCUAAUACCGGAUAAUGUCUUCGGACCAAAGAUUUAUCGCCUUUGGAUGGGCCCGCGUUAGAUUAGCUAGUUGGUAGGGUAAAAGCCUACCAAGGCGUGGUUCCAUAGCUGGUCUGAGAGGAUGAUCAGCCACAAUGGGACUGAGACACGGCCCAGACUCGGACGGGAGGGAGCGGUGGAGAAUAUAGGACACGGGGCGAAAUCCUGAUCCAGCCAUGCCGCGGGAGUGAUGAAGGGCUUAGGGUUGUAAAGCUCUUUUACCCGGGAUGAUAAUGACGGUACCGGGAGAAUAAGCUCCGGCUAACUCCGUG
rnacentral:rRNA from 1 species